UUAAGCAUAUCAAUAAGCGGAGGAAAAGAAACCAACAGGGAUUGCCUUAGUAACGGCGAGUGAAGCGGCAACAGCUCAAAUUUGAAAGCUGGCUCCUUCGGAGUCCGCGUUGUAAUUUGUAGAGGAUGAUUCGGCGAGGGCUCCCGCCUAAGUCCCCUGGAACGGGGCGUCAUAGAGGGUGAGAAUCCCGUAUGCGGUGGGUUGCCUUAGCCAUGUGAAUCUCCUUCGACGAGUCGAGUUGUUUGGGAAUGCAGCUCUAAAUGGGAGGUAAAUUUCUUCUAAAGCUAAAUACCGGCCAGAGACCGAUAGCGCACAAGUAGAGUGAUCGAAAGAUGAAAAGCACUUUGGAAAGAGAGUUAAAAAGUACGUGAAAUUGUUGAAAGGGAAGCGCUUGCAGCCAGACUUGUCCGCAGUUGCUCAACCGGUCUCCUGACCGGUGUACUCUUCUGCGGCCAGGCCAGCAUCAGUUCGGGCGGUCGGAUAAAGGCCCUGGGAAUGUAGCUCCUCUCGGGGAGUGUUAUAGCCCAGGGUGGAAUGCGGCCAGCCUGGACUGAGGAUCUCGCUUCGGCUAGGAUGCUGGCGUAAUGGCUGUAAGCGGCCCGUCUUGAAACACGGACCAAGGAGUCUAACAUCUAUGCGAGUGUUUGGGUGUCAAACCCAUGCGCGUAAUGAAAGUGAACGGAGGUGGGAACCCUCACGGGUGCACCAUCGACCGAUCCUGAUGUCUUCGGAUGGAUUUGAGUAAGAGCAUAGCUGUUGGGACCCGAAAGAUGGUGAACUAUGCCUGAAUAGGGUGAAGCCAGAGGAAACUCUGGUGGAGGCUCGCAGCGGUUCUGACGUGCAAAUCGAUCGUCAAACUCCCCCCCAGGGGUUA
rnacentral:rRNA from 1 species